CCUACGGGUGGCAGCAGUGAGGAAUAUUGGUCAAUGGGCGCGAGCCUGAACCAGCCAAGUCGCGUGAGGGAAGACGGCCCUACGGGUUGUAAACCUCUUUUGCCGGGGAGCAACGUGCGCCACGUGUGGCGCCACUGAGAGUACCCGGAGAAAAAGCUUCGGCUAACUCCGUGCCAGCAGCCGCGGUAAUACGGGGACUGCGGGCGUUAUCCGGAUUUAUUGGGUUUAAGGGGUGCGUAGGCGGAGCGUUAAGGCAGUGGUAAAAUUGAGGGGCUCAACCCCUUCCCGCCAUUGAAACUGGCGCUCUUGAGUGGAAGAGAAGUAUGCGGAAUGCGUGGUGUAGCGGUGAAAUGCAUAGAUAUCACGCAGAACCCCGAUUGCGAAGGCAGCAUGCCGGCUUCCGACUGACGCUGAAGCACGAAAGCGUGGGGAUCGAACAGGAUUAGAUACCCCUGUAGUC
rnacentral:rRNA from 1 species